AGAGUUUGAUCAUGGCUCAGGAUGAACGCUGGCGGCGCGCCUAAUACAUGCAAGUCGAACGGAGUGUGUUCUCGUAACGCACUCAGUGGCGAACGGGUGAGUAACGCGUAGGUGACCUACCCCGAAGAGGGGGAUAACGGCCCGAAAGGGCUGCUAAUACCCCAUGUGGUUCUGUGGGUUAGAGGCCGCAGAACUAAAGGCGUAAGCCGCUUCGGGAUGGGCCUGCGUCCCAUCAGCUAGUUGGUAGGGUAACGGCCUACCAAGGCGAUGACGGGUAGGGGGCCUGAGAGGGUGGCCCCCCACACUGGCACUGAAACACGGGCCAGACACCUACGGGUGGCAGCAGUAGGGAAUAUUGGGCAAUGGGCGAAAGCCUGACCCAGCGACGCCGCGUGCGCGAUGAAGGCCUUCGGGUUGUAAAGCGCUUUUGGAGGGGAUGAGGAAGGACAGUACCCUCCGAAUAAGCCUCGGCUAACUACGUGCCAGCAGCCGCGGUAAAACGUAGGAGGCGAGCGUUAUCCGGAUUUACUGGGCGUAAAGCGCGUGUAGGCGGUCCGGCAAGUUGGAUGUGAAAUCUCUCGGCUCAACCGGGAGAGGUCGUUCAAUACUGCUGGGCUAGAGAGCGGUAGAGGGGGGUGGAAUUCCGGGUGUAGCGGUGAAAUGCGUAGAUAUCCGGAGGAACACCAGUGGCGAAGGCGGCCCCCUGGACCGUCUCUGACGCUCAGACGCGAAAGCUAGGGGAGCAAACGGGAUUAGAGACCCCGGUAGUCCUAGCCGUAAACGAUGUGGACUUGGCGUUGGUGGGUUAAAAUCCAUCAGUGCCGAAGCUAACGCGAUAAGUCCACCGCCUGAGGACUACGGCCGCAAGGCUAAAACUCAAAUGAAUUGACGG
rnacentral:rRNA from 1 species